ensembl:lncRNA
AUUUUGGCCAUUGUAGUAGUUAGAUUCCUUUCAGUUGCAACUAACGAGAAACUUAAUUCAACUGAUAGGUAACUGUGGUUGAGAGGCAGCAUGGGCUCCAGCCAUGAGAAGACCAGGAGCUUGUCCUGUUUCUCCGCUCUUGUCUUGGUUCUUUUCUCUGCAUUGUUUUUAUUCUCAGGCUGGCUUCUCCCCUUGUGUUAAUAUGAUUGCCAGCAAUAAUCCAAGGAGGCAUGCUUCCUCGGUCAUGUCCAGAAGAAAAUAGCUCUUCUUCAAUAUGUAAGACACCUUAAUUAUUACCAAAUAUCUAUUCUUCCUUGUGACAGCUGAUUUUAUGUGUCAACUUGACUAGGCUAAGGGAUGCCCAGAUGUCUGGUAAAAUGUGUGUCUUCUGGAAACACCCAUUGGAAGAGAUUAGCAUUUGAAUCAGCAGACUGAGUAAAGCAAAGAAUCCUCACCCAAUCAGGUGGACCUCAUUCAAUCUGCUGAGGGCCUGAUUACAGCAAAAAGGAGGGGGAGGGGAAAUUUGCUCUCUGCCUGAGCUGAGUGCCCCAGACAUCAGUGCUCCUGGUUGUGGGGCCUUACAACUUGGACCAGGACUUACAAGGUUGUGCCUCCCUGCACCCUGCCACCUUCUUGGGCUUUUGGACUGCUGAUGGGACUUAUGUCAUUGACUCCUCUGGUUCUGAAGCUUUCAGACUUGUACUGAACUAAAGCAUUGGCUUUCCUUGUUCUCCGGCUUGUGGAUGGCAGUUCAUGGGACACUGUGACUUCCAUAAUCACCCAAAGUGAUACAACUAAGGAUUGUUGGAAGAUGGCUGGAGUCAGACUUUACUGGAAACAUAUUCCUUUUCAAAAGGAUUUUUCCAGUUCACAGUGCCCUUGGCAGCACCUUCAUCAUACUUUCAUCACAGCCUUGGCAGCAUGCUUUGACCACUAAUGAAGAUGAACAUUGCUAUUCCAUAACUUUUUUCUGAAAAUUUUGUUUAUAUUCUUUUUAAAAGUUUUCUUAGACAUUUAAACAUGCUCUUCAAAAAUUAAAGUCUCAGGAGCUGUACUUGGCUACUCUCAUUGAACAAAUGAAGACUCCAACCUUCAACCAGGAGGGUGCUGGGCUUAUGGGCGGGGGGCAGCCAGAUUGGGGGCCCCGGGCUGGGAUGGUGACCCCUCCCCAGCCUCAGCACCUGCACUUUCAUGUGUGCCCUUUUCCAGAAAUGUAACUUCAUCUUCUUGAUCUGAUUAAGUUUUUUAUUUUGGCUUUAUUAAUGCUGAUUGUCAGAGCAAUAUUUUAAAAGGACUACAUUUGCAUGAUGUUGCAUUUUAUUCAGCUAAUUACUUUCUGGAGAAUUUUUGAUCAUACUGUAAAAUUAUAUGAUGUGAAAACAUUUACCACUGUCAGAAUAAAUCUCAAGAAUCCAUACAUUUUAUUUUUUGUGGCCACUCAAAAUUCUGGUGUUACGUUUAUAAUAUCCCCACCUGAAUAUCUUGUUUAUGAAAAUGUAAGGGGAAACUGAAAGGUGUUUUACAUUUCUAACACUUGAUAUUAAAUGAAAGCAAAAUCAGAAUAGACCAACCCCACUACAACAAUCACCGCAACCAUCAAUACCACACCUGGGCAGCUACCAACACUUCUUAGGGCUAAGGAAUCAAUAAGUAGGCAGGAACCUGCAAUUUUCGAGCCACUUUGAAAAGUCCAAGUUUGGUAGGAGUUCUUUUUAAACAUUUUCUUGGGGCUAAAAUCUGACACUACAUUGUUCUUGAUUCUGCUGGAGCCCUCAGUACUAUGGUUUCCAUCUCUCUCUCUCUCUUCCCCCCGCCCCCCAUAGAUUCAGCACAAACUCCACUAAUUCAACUUCUCAGUGGUUUGUGGCGUGAGGUUGGGUGGGAUGCUGUUGGUAACUCAUGGAAAUGUUACAGAGCUGUCAAAAAUAUAAGUAGUCAGCUAUAUACACUAAGAAAAGUGCUGCAUUUCUAUCUGGUCCCGGUAGAAGAUUAGUAAGAGAAAUUCUGGAUACCAUGGGCACCUCCCCUCUGUACUGCAAGUUUCUCUUCUUUGCCUCCUUUCUCUGUUCCAUCUCUUCUCCUUAGCUUGUGGGCGCAGGAACAUGUAGUAGUAAUGAAGUCAGUUGAUGAUGAAGGUCCAGUGGAGGGGGAAGACGCCUACUGGAAGAGGAGGCAUCUUCAUUCUUUACUUGGCCUCAGAGAGUGACUCCAUGCCAAGUCAUCCAUCUUGCAAAUGCAGGCUGCUCUUCACCAGUGGAAAGUGAGAAUGUAAGGAAUCAGCACAAGUCAAUCACCUCUAAAGGGAAAAAUAACCAAGGGACUAGUUUAGAUGGAUUAGGACAACACAACACUAAAGGGGAAAAUGUUUUCUAGUCAUAUUUGUUCCUUCCUUUUCUUUUUUCUUAUCCUUUUCCUAGGCUUUCCUAGCCUAUUCUAUUUCCUCUGGGAGGUAGGGAAGGGGAAAAUGUUCAUUUAUAUUUAAUCCUGUCAACUGAAAAAUGAAAAUAAAAAUAGUUGGACAUU